ACCUUCAGAGCUCUCAGAUGCCUGAAUCCAAGAGAAAUGCUUUUCUGAAAGUCUUCUCGAAGUUGAAGCAACAGGUUUUGUGGAAAUGGGAGACAGACACAUUGCCAGGACAACCAAGAAACGUGAAACUUGGAAAGUGGCUGCCACAAUCGGACAUUUUAGCUCAUCCCAAUGUUCGACUCUUCAUUACACACGG